CAUAGGCUUAGGUGUAUGGAAGAUCAAGUGUGAAUCUACCCUUCAAUUACUUUACCUGCCUAGGUGAACUUUUGGCAAUUUCAGUGGACUAGACAUCCAUUUGUCACAUUUCUCUACAUAGUAACAUUCCUCUAUCCGUUUCCCACAGUCCAUAGUAGACAAAACUACUUACCAAAGAGAAAGGCAUCACACAGUCAGGUCAUCUGUCUCUAAUAGAACACCACCAGAGAAUUCCUGAUCCUACCAACAGACGCAGUCUGUACCUCUUUCUUUCCUCUAUGGUAUGUUUACAUUUUCUUACAAAUUUUGAUGUAAUGUUUCUACAGGGAAAAACAAAACAAAACAAGACAAAAAACAGGACAAAACCAACAUCACAUUUCAUGAAAGGAAAAUCAGGCUUUAAAUUUUAUCAAAAGCCCUAAGCAUAGUAUAUAGCAUUGUCUGGGCAUACUGAUUGUAUUUUCCCUAAAAGAAGAAGUGUCAGCAGCUCAGGUUUAUUUUUCAGGGAAAGAGAGAGAGGAUAAAAAGAAAUUGAACCACAGGAAAAUGUCAGGUCAUAGUCACUGAUGACGCUAUUUAAAUGGUGUGCCAUAAUCAUAUUAGGGCAGAGCACGUGGAAUUCCCGAUUUCUGCAUGACAGUGAAGAAGGGCCAGCAAUUAUCUGUGUGUGUGUGUGUGUGUGUGUGUGUGUGUGUGUGUGCGCGCGGAUAUGUGAGUGUCUGUUCUCUACCUUCCCACCCCGUUUUGCUAAAUCAAGUGGGGGGCAAGCAGAGGUAAUCCAGACACCCGGAACAGGCGGAAAAGGUCUGCAGCUGUGCUCGGAGGGGCUGGUGUGAAGACAGAGGCUCAGUCUGCCUUGGAGUUUUGUGCUAUUGCACGUGAAUGCUCUGGAACUGCUCUAAUCGACUGAAAAUGAGCCGGCUACGGUCAUAUGGAACAGAUAAUUAGCACCAUGGAGCCUCAGGUGUCAAAUGGCCCGACAUCCAAUACGAGCAAUGGACCCUCCAGCAACAAUAGAAACUGUCCUUCUCCCAUGCAGACAGGGGCAGCCACAGAUGACAGCAAAACCAACCUCAUAGUCAACUAUUUACCCCAGAAUAUGACCCAAGAGGAAUUCAGGAGUCUCUUUGGGAGCAUUGGUGAAAUAGAAUCCUGCAAACUCGUGAGAGACAAAAUUACAGGACAGAGUUUAGGGUAUGGAUUCGUUAACUAUAUUGACCCAAAGGAUGCAGAGAAAGCCAUCAACACUUUAAAUGGACUCAGACUCCAGACCAAAACCAUAAAGGUCUCAUACGCCCGUCCGAGCUCUGCCUCAAUCAGGGAUGCUAACCUGUACGUUAGCGGCCUUCCCAAAACCAUGACGCAGAAGGAACUGGAGCAGCUUUUCUCGCAAUAUGGCCGCAUCAUCACCUCACGAAUCCUGGUCGAUCAAGUCACAGGAGUAUCCAGAGGGGUGGGAUUCAUCCGGUUUGAUAAGAGGAUUGAGGCAGAAGAAGCCAUCAAAGGGCUGAAUGGCCAGAAGCCCAGCGGUGCUACAGAACCGAUUACUGUGAAGUUUGCCAACAACCCCAGCCAGAAGUCCAGCCAGGCCCUGCUCUCCCAGCUCUACCAGUCCCCAAACCGGCGCUACCCCGGCCCACUUCACCACCAGGCUCAGAGGUUCAGGCUGGACAAUUUGCUUAAUAUGGCCUAUGGCGUAAAGAGACUGAUGUCUGGACCAGUCCCCCCUUCUGCUUGUCCCCCCAGGUUCUCCCCAAUCACCAUUGACGGGAUGACAAGCCUUGUGGGAAUGAACAUCCCUGGUCACACAGGAACGGGCUGGUGCAUCUUUGUCUACAACCUGUCUCCUGAUUCCGACGAGAGUGUCCUCUGGCAGCUCUUCGGCCCCUUCGGCGCAGUGAACAACGUCAAAGUCAUCCGAGACUUCAAUACCAACAAGUGCAAGGGAUUCGGCUUUGUCACCAUGACCAACUAUGACGAGGCAGCCAUGGCCAUCGCCAGCCUCAACGGGUACCGCCUGGGAGACCGAGUGCUGCAAGUUUCCUUUAAAACCAACAAAGCCCACAAGUCCUGAAUUUCCCAUCCUUACUUAUUAAAAAAUAUAUAUAAAUAUAUACGAACAAACCACACGCGCGCACACACACACAUACACACGCACACACACAAAAGAGAGAGAAACUUUUCGAGGCUUAUAUUCAACCAUGGACUUUAUAAGCCAGUGUUGCCUAAGUAUUAAAACAUUGGAUUAUCCUGAAGUGUACCAGGAAAGGAUUUUAUAAUGCUUAGAAAAAAAGAAAAAAAAAAACACAAAAAAAUACCUUUGAUGCAUUGAAUGUUCUUUCAUAGCUGUCGUUGUUGACUAUAAUAUACACAGAUAGCAACGUGCAGGGAUUUUUACCCAGCCAGCUAACUUUACUACCUUCCUUGAAGGUGGGUCUUUUUAAGAUGACCAUUCGCUCAUUUGAAGAAGAAAAACAAAAAACAAAAAAAAAAUAAUAAAAAUAAAACAAUUUUUACAAAGUAAUGGGAUUCAAAGAAAGAAAAAAAAAGAUUUUUCUUUUUUGUCAAAAUGUUGAUCCAAUCAGAUUGGUUAAAAACCCCCACACAAAUUAAAGAGGAAUAAUAAAAAUUGCAAAAAUUACAAAAACUUUUGCAAAUGUUUUUAUUUUUCCUUUUUUCUUUUAUAUCAUGUGAACUAAAACAGUCUUCUGUUAGGGGAUGGGGGCAAGGGGGAUACCUGAUGACAUUAACAAUUUAAUAACAUUAACAUUGUUGCCAAAGAGGUGGUCUCUUUGCUGAAAAUGGGUUUCAAGAAAAAUCUAUUUUUAUAAAAUAUAAAGAAUUUUUACAAGAGAAUCUGGAUUUGAGAAAAAAAAUAUUUUGACUGGCUAAUUUAGGGGAAAUUGACAACUUUGUCGCGUUCAUACUGCACUGGUAACUUUUUAGAGAUCAGGAUGUGUGUUUUAAACUGGAUUCGUAGACUGUUUUUUGAAGGAUGGGCUAUAAACAGAUGAUCUUCAUAUCUUUUCAUAGCAUGUAAUAAUAAUAAAAAAAUAUUAAUUACUAGGGGAAAGGAGUGUUCGUUCUACCCAGGGUACCACAGUUCCCCACAGUCAAAACCCAAAAGCAAGGAGAUGAGUUGAAAGACAGUUUUUCUUUAAGUCAUCAGUAUGGGAUGUCAGCAGAACAAAAAUUAAAAAGAUUCAUUUUCCUUUUGAUCUAAAACUUCCUUAGUUUGAGCAGUAGGUGCUACGAAAUUAUUUACAUAUCUUAGUAUCAUAGUUAAAUGUAUGUGUUUAGGAGAGGAAAACAAAAGAUAAAUUUGCUUUAAAUUCAUUAAGGAAUUUUCAAAUUCACUUUGUAGCCCAUGCUGAUAGAACUGGGCUGUGUUGGUACAUUUGAAACACUGUUUAUGUUGCUUGAAACACUUAUUUAUUUAAUCGCCGAUGUGAUGAUGCCUAUGGCCGAGAUCAAAUAUAGCUAGAUUGGCUAGACUACUUAUUUGUUUACUUAAACUAUGGGAAGAAGCAUAUUAUUGUGUCAUUCUGUUGUGUGUGUAUGUGUAUAUACAAUAUAAAUAUAUAUAUAUAUAAAGUUAUUUUUCCUUUGGGUUAAUUUAUUAUAAGUUGUAACACUUGGCUAGUUUUGUUUGUAUAUGUCUUAAAAAUGUUUUCUUAUGCUAUUUAAGUGACAGUUAAAGAGGUAUCAAGGUAACUUGUGUAGAACUAUUGUUUGAUAUAUUGUCAUGUUUGUUGUGAAUAUUUUUUCUUACUGCACAGUAGAAAAAUAAAAACAACUGGGUCUUUAUUUUAAUGUAACUCAGAUUGGGGAAAACAAAACAGAGCUAAAGGAACAAAAUGACUGAGGGAGCUUUCUCCCACGUCCAGUGCACUGAUCAUUUGAGUAUGUUUGUGCUUCGUACGGUUAUAUAUUUAAAACAAAAACAAAACAAAAAAAUACAAGGGUUCAUGCUCUUCCCUGGGUAAUAGAAACAGUUACUCGCUAUGCAUAAUCUAGUUGAUAGUUAAAUUUGCUAUUGCUUUUCUUGUCUUGUUAUAUACAAUCUUUUCAAUACCAGUUUAGUCUUAAUGGUAAUAAAACGUUAUGGUUAUUUAUAACUUGUGCUUAUUUUGUGCGUUUUUUCCCAUGCUGAACCCACUAAGUGCAUGUAGACAGAACUGUUGUUUUCACACUGAAGAGGCAAACUUUGUAGUAGUCGUUGUAGUGGUAGACAGAUAACGAAAACCACGGCUGCAUCAUAGACUCCUCCUUUAAAUUUUUUUUCUGUUUUUUUUUCCUCUUUUCGGUUUUGAGAAAAAACAAACAAACAAAAACCAAAAACACCAGAUUUCAGUUCAGAGAACACUCGUUCAACAUUCACGGAAACCUUCUUACAUCACCUGCUAUGAAUGAACGCAGUUGCUGGCAAAGUUUUGAUGCAUUUGCUAAGCAUUAGUGGGAAAGGCAUGCCAAAAUCCCUUCUCUAUAAUGUGUUCACUCUUGGGGGAAAAAAAAAGGAAAAAAAAUCUUAGGACCAGGCAGUUGUAUACUUUAGUUAUAAUGAAUGACUUCAUGUUAAUCUUGCUAGUUUAGAUGAUUUCCGAGGGAAAGUAUUGUAAAUGGUUUUUUUUUCAUACUCUUGUUGUGUUUGAAUUAUUUGUACUUUAUCUGUCCAGACAAUAAAUGAAGUGUGUAGAAU